rnacentral:lncRNA from 1 species
AACUUCCUCAGACUCCACCUCUCCCUUCACUCCCGCCUGUAUCCGUGCCUGUUACCUGGACGCCUUGUGGAACUUGAAUUCUACGCCCUCCACUGGGACACUGCCCUUCAUCCUCUCUCACCUCCUCCAGGACAACAAAUGUUGUAGUCCUCAUCAUCAGCAGAGACUUUGUGCCAUCCUCUGCUAUAUUAUCCUGAAGCAUCACAGAUUACCAAUGUUACAAAACUGUAAACAGAGAAAGGUGGCUUUGUAAGAAGAAAAGAGAUCAUUCUUUUUCCACCAUGUGAGGACCCAGCAAGAGGGUGGCUGUCUGCAAACCCAGGGAGAGAGCCCUCACCAGGAAUCUGCUGGCACCUUAAUCUUGGACUUCCCAGCCUCCACAACUGUGAGGAAUAAAU